rnacentral:rRNA from 1 species
GCAAGGGGGUCAUCCCGACUUACCAACCCGAUGCAAACUGCGAAUACCGGAGAAUGUUAUCACGGGAGACACACGGCGGGUGCUAACGUCCGUCGUGAAGAGGGAAACAACCCAGACCGCCAGCUAAGGUCCCAAAGUCAUGGUUAAGUGGGAAACGAUGUGGGAAGGCCCAGACAGCCAGGAUGUUGGCUUAGAAGCAGCCAUCAUUUAAAGAAAGCGUAAUAGCUCACUGGUCGAGUCGGCCUGCGCGGAAGAUGUAACGGGGCUAAACCAU